CGAGCGGAAGGCCCUUCGGGGUACUCGAGCGGCGAACGGGUGAGUAACACGUGAGCAACCUGCCCUAGGCUUUGGGAUAACCCUCGGAAACGGGGGCUAAUACCGAAUAUUCACUUGCGGACGCAUGUUUGUGGGUGGAAAGUUUUUCGGCUUGGGAUGGGCUCGCGGCCUAUCAGCUUGUUGGUGGGGUGAUGGCCUACCAAGGCGACGACGGGUAGCCGGCCUGAGAGGGCGACCGGCCACACUGGGACUGAGACACGGCCCAGACUCCUACGGGAGGCAGCAGUGGGGAAUAUUGCACAAUGGGCGGAAGCCUGAUGCAGCGACGCCGCGUGAGGGAUGACGGCCUUCGGGUUGUAAACCUCUUUCAGCAGGGACGAAGCGCAAGUGACGGUACCUGCAGAAGAAGCGCCGGCCAACUACGUGCCAGCAGCCGCGGUAAGACGUAGGGCGCGAGCGUUGUCCGGAUUUAUUGGGCGUAAAGAGCUCGUAGGCGGCUUGUCGCGUCGACUGUGAAAACCCGUGGCUCAACUGCGGGCCUGCAGUCGAUACGGGCAGGCUAGAGUUCGGUAGGGGAGACUGGAAUUCCUGGUGUAGCGGUGAAAUGCGCAGAUAUCAGGAGGAACACCGGUGGCGAAGGCGGGUCUCUGGGCCGAUACUGACGCUGAGGAGCGAAAGCGUGGGGAGCGAACAGGAUUAGAUACCCUGGUAGUCCACGCUGUAAACGUUGGGCGCUAGGUGUGGGGGGGCCUCUCCGGGUUCUCUGUGCCGCAGCUAACGC
rnacentral:rRNA from 1 species